GUGCCAGCAGCCGCGGUAAUACGGAGGGUGCGAGCGUUAAUCGGAAUGACUGGGCGUAAAGGGCAUGUAGGCGGAUGAUUAAGUUAGGUGUGAAAGCCCCGGGCUCAACCUGGGAAUUGCAUUUAAAACUGGUCGUCUGGAGUAUUGUAGAGGAAGGUAGAAUUCCACGUGUAGCGGUGAAAUGCGUAGAGAUGUGGAGGAAUACCGGUGGCGAAGGCGGCCUUCUGGACAGAUACUGACGCUGAGAUGCGAAAGCGUGGGGAGCAAACAGGAUUAGAUACCCUGGUAGUCCACGCUGUAAACGAUGUCGAUUUGGAAUUUGCGGCCCUGAGCUGUGGGUUCCGAAGCUAACGCGAUAAAUCGACCGCCUGGGGAGUACGGCCGCAAGGUUAAAACUCAAAUGAAUUGACGGGGGCCCGCACAAGCGGUGGAGCAUGUGGUUUAA
rnacentral:rRNA from 1 species